UUGGUCAAAUGUUUUAUAAUUUGAAUAAAUAAGACAUUUGCAAUUGUUUUUAUUUUGGAUAUUGUGAUUGGUUUUAAUGAAAUAAACAGACCGGGUUCUUUAAGGAUCUGGUCACUUUCGGUUUUAAAUAAUGUAAAUAAACUAUUGGAGAAUUGGCAGUUAUUUUUUAUUAAGCCAUUCUAUAUUAUUAAUUAAGAAUCUGUCAAGCUGAAGUUUGGUAUUGUUUAUGUGUAUGUUUCUGCAACGGGCAUUGACCGACAAAUUCAUAUUAAAUAACUUAAAGGAGCUCGACAACCAAAACCCAAUUAAUCAAAUUACAACGCCAAGUUUCCAUUUAGUGUUUUAUUGGUUAAUAAGAAAAAUGCAGGCUGGCUUAUAUAGGCAUUUCACAAUUGAAACUAAGAAAUGAGAAAUAAAGCCAUAGAAUACAUUCAUACCACUCAAAUUCAGCCAGUCAGAAUGAUGGGAAGGAUUGCAGAACUGAGUUUCACUCUCACCUGACUGAUGCAGAUUCAGUAACCUAAUUGCUCAUGAUGGUUUCUGAGAAAAAAACAGCUUGGUGUAAUUUGACAGUAUUUUUCAGUAUUUGACAGUGGUUCUAUCAUGCAACAGUCAUACCAUGAAGUGUCUCACAGAUUUUUCUGAAUUCCUGCAAUAUCCAAGAUUACAGUGUAGUGCAAAGAGGAUUAAUUUUCUUGCAAUAAGAAGUAUCUGCACUUCCAAAUACCCCUGUACAGCAUGAACAGUUCCUUCAGUUUUUGAGUGAUUAUAGAGUGAAAAUGUUUCCAUAUAAAAUGUUUUCUUUUUAUGUGUAAAACUUGUUAUGAAUGGUUACAAAUACAUGCAUGGACAUUAUGAUUCCAAAUCUAUGCACAUUUUGAUUCCAAUAAUUAAAGUAUUUUAAAUUUGGUUUGAAACAGAAAUAUUGUCCUUAUGUUUGUUUCUAAACAUUAUCUGGUAUUAUUUGUGUUUAUAGUUUCCAUGUCAAUUUAAAAAAAAAAAGUCGGUUCUUUUAAAGAUGCACUCUUACUCCCACAUAAGAUUUACCACAAUUAAUACUUUUGUUUUAUUAUUCCAAAAAGGAUGAAUAAAUGUUGAAAACAAUGGUUCUAAUGAAUGAUGCCUACUUCUACUUGAAGGAAAUGUGCAUAAAAGACAGUAUUUCUACCAUUUGAGAUCAUAGUAGAUCACAGUAAAUCUUUAUGCAUUCACCAAUCAUUUAAUAUCUUUGCUUUUUCAGCUUAAAUACACGGUUACAAUAUUUUCAUCAAUACUUAAUAUUUUCCAAAAAAGAAUUAUUAAGUAAGUUGUUAAAGGGUUAACAGUCAAAGUAUAUGUUUGUUAUACAUGUGUAUGCAUUGAUACUGAAUAAGAGUGUCACUUUAAACAGUUGACAUGGUAACUAUAGAGUCUAGUUUUCUUAAGAAACUGUAAUUGUUGUCUAAAAACCUUUGUAUUUUCAAUGUCAUACUUUUUAGCAUGUCCGCUUCAGUCAAUGAAAUAUUUCUGUUAUUUGUUAAUUAUUUGGUCAUACUUUGUAUACAAUUAUAUUUAUAAUUUAACCUUGAAAAUUGCUGACAAUCUCAUACUUAUAUUGAAAUAUUCAGAAUUGCUAGAUGGGUUGAAGUUCACCUUUAUUACAACUGUCAGGCAAAUCAUGGCAAGAUGUACAUAAUUCUCCUUUUUAACAAAAACCGAUGUUUAAAGCAUUUUUUGUAUUUUUAUUGAAUGGUUACCAUGGCAACUAAUUUUUUGUUUGCCUUUAAUCUUCCUAUUUAUAAUACUAUUAAUUGUAAAAAUGCAACAGUCAAGCAGUGAAUGGAAGAAUGUAAACGUUCUUUGUCUUUUACCUUUUUCAAGCUCAUUCUUAAAAUUUCUUAAAAAUGGACGUUUUUUCAUCAUUUUUUUUAAAGUAAAACAAUUUGCUUAAAACUUUGUUUAGGUUCUGAUAUUUAGGAAUGUGUAUUAAAUUUAUAGAAAAUAA